rnacentral:lncRNA from 1 species
AUUUAAUAUAUAUGAUUAAUAAUAUAAAUCAGUUGGAAAAAUAGUUUUCGUCAUGCGCAAUAUCUUUUAAGUGCGUAACUACGUCACUUCCGUCACCACCUGUUGCGGUGCACGUUGAAACAAAAUAAGCCAAAAUUGUAGUCCCAAAAAUUUCGGUAUAAUAACCGUUUCUAAAAAUUUCCUUGUACAGGUAUGCUAAGUGUAUCAUAUCUAAACUGCAUACAAAAAAUAAAAGGUUUUGGUUCAGAAACACGCCAGUUAUAUCCAUUCGAAAUAUUUCGCGAUCGGGGGUUUCAUCCCUUUCUAUUAUUUGUACGUGUAAGCAAAGUCAAUCGUUCUAGUAUGAGCCCACGCUACUAUGGUCAGUCCUUGUAAUACAAUGUUUGAAUUACAUGAAGUAGUAGACAUGAUAUUAUCGAAAAUCAACAUAAUUUUCAUCGUGAUGAAACCUGGAUGAAACUAUGCGAUAUAUUGGUUGAUGACAAGGUAUUUUAAAUAAACACAAUCGUACUUUUCUGCUCCCUGUGCGCGUAUGGGUGCACUUUGACCUGUAGAAUCCAUUUCUGGCAUUUCCAGAGUCACGCGAUGCAAGCGUAGCAUUGUUAUGACAUUUUUAAGUCGUACUUCCGGUUGGAUUAUCUCACUAGUCAGACCAGAAAUGGAAAUAUGGUAAUAAAAGAUUCAAAUUUGAUGAUACAAUCUCGAAAAUAACACUCUAAAUAGUGUUUUUGACAGCGAUUCGAACAAGACUAUUACAAAGAAGAUACGGCCGAAGCGGCCGAAGUUAUGUUCGGCGAAAGGUACGGCCAGUCUACAUUGUUGUUCAGACAAUUGCGUAAUUUGAUAAUAUACAAUCUCGCUUGACUUCCAAAGGUCAUAAAUUGUGAUAAUGUUGACAUCGACUAAAUCUAUCGUUAGGAACUAGGAGAUUUCGACUUGCUGAAUCGAAUGGUGGCAUUUUCAUCUACAUAGCAUGCACCGAACCAAAGAUAUGAAUCUGCAAAGUCGUAUUACAGCAGUGUAUUGCGUUUAUAGGGUCGUGACAGGAAAGAGUUAAGAAACUGUUUGAAAUUUUAGACUAAACAGGUUCUUAUAUAAAGGGGGUCUAAAUAAGAAAUUUUAGCCUAACAGGUUCUUAAAAUCUAUAGGUUCUUAUACGCGGGGGCUUACUGUAUUAGAUAUGUUGUCGCUCACUACGCCGGUUUAAAUAAAUGAAUGCAUUUAUUUCCCAGACCUAGCACAAAUCACAUACAUUCCCAACCCAACAUUUCGAUACUCCAGUCUAGUCUCUUCAUCAGGGGGUGAAGAAGUCGAAAAGCACUGCACCUCCUUACAUUAUGCACAUGAAGAUGUUAAUAAGUUGAAGAGACUGUUGUUGAAAUAAGCUACCAUACAUAAAUUUGAAUCAUGCAUUGAAAGGAGGUGAUGUACCUUGUUGGGUAAUGACGUCAUCCUUCGAGUGUAUAAGCAGCCUACAAUAGUCCUGAUGAAGACACUAAACUAUCGAAAUGUUGGGUCGUGAAUGGAAUACUGUUUGUUUAGGGAUUAGCAAGCGAAAACAGGUCUCACCAAUCAUUGUUGAAUUGUGAAUAAAAACCUUGUGUCCCUUUUUCUUAAUCUCUUAAAGGAUGGCUGUGUAUUCUUUGGCAAGAAAAUGAAAGAACUAUGUGACCGAUGUUGUAAAAGAGAAGGAUACAGUGAAAUAUAGUUGUAUAUAACAACCAAUGCUUUGUUAUAGCGCCUCGCUUCAAUAAACUGUUAGGAAAUUAUGCACUAAAUGAAACGGCAUACCAGAAAAAAAGCCUUACUAAGCCAAAGUUUAACACAAUGACCAAUAUAAUUUACAGAAGUUUGGAUUUUGAAUGAUUAGAUAGAAUUUCAUGGAAUUUUUUACGUAGAAACGAAUACUUUCUUAAAACGAAUCUUCAAAAAAGCGUAACCUAUAGUUAGUAUAGAACCAUAGAAUAAAGAUCCAUAUAGAAGGGCCACUUAAUUACGUCGGAAGCUUUGAAGUUUCUGUCCUCGCGCAUGUCGCAUUACGCAUGUUGGCCGCCAUUUUCCUAGCCAGUCAAUGACAUUUUCUGGCCAAUAAACACGCUGUACUGGCUGGAUGCUCUGCCUUCUGGCCAGUAAACUGCAUAUUUUUGCAUAAAAAACGCGGACACGUUGCACCGCUGAGUGGCCCUUCUGUUACUGAUCUUUAUUCUGUGGUUAGAACAGUGUUACCAGCUUUAUUUCCCUGAAGCUAGUGGUUAAACCAGGAAACAUCGUUCCCAGCAAUGUUUCCUGUGGGCGGCUAAAGCAGGUAACAUUGUUUCUCAUGAGACACGAGGCGGAUUCCUGCAAAAAGACCAAGUGCCCCAGAGGAAGCUCGUCGUGGUGAUUUUUCUUUGUGUUUUCCUCAUAGUUUAGUUUUUAGUUUGUUUAGUUUGUUUAAUUAAUUCGCCAGUAAAUUACAAUGACAUGUAUAUAGCAAGUUGCCAAGUUACAAGUUUACCAAACAGACGACUGGCAGGAGUUAGAUACAGGACUAAUGUCCCAAUUGCCAUCCUACCCCUAUAAUUAAUCCUUUUGGAAAUAACUGUAUAUCAAACCGAAAAUGUUUUAUAUUUGUUAGCUAAGUGUCAGUUUCUAGACAUGCAAUAACAUACGUACAUAAUUUCCAUUCUUUGAACACCUAUACGAUUGCAUUAACCUGAAUUUGCUGAUUAACGUUUGAAGAAAUAUCGUUUUGAAUGAUCUCGUGGGCGAAAAGCUGAGAGCAACAAGUUCGAAACGUCAAGUACUUGAUUGAUAAACAUAAAAAUAUCGGACAUUAGUAAGACAGUGCCAUAUACACACCGCAAUGCCAUUUGUAAUUUUUUUUAACUGGGGAGGGGGGGGAGGCAAAGGCAAUUUUUUGUAAUGUAAUGUUUCCAUGCAUGUAAUGAACAACAUUUUUUUGAAUUUUAAAUAAAUA